rnacentral:rRNA from 1 species
GAUGAACGCUAGCUACAGGCUUAACACAUGCAAGUCGAGGGGCAGCAUGGAAGAAGCUUGCUUCUUCUGAUGGCGACCGGCGCACGGGUGCGUAACGCGUAUCAAACCUGCCUCAUACUCGGGGAUAGCCUUGCGAAAGUAAGAUUAAUACCCGAUGUUGUUAUGUUGCCGCAUGGUGAUAUAACCAAAGAUUUAUCGGUAUGAGAUGGUGAUGCGUCCGAUUAGGUAGUAGGCGGGGUAACGGCCCACCUAGCCUUCGAUCGGUAGGGGUUCUGAGAGGAAGGUCCCCCACACUGGAACUGAGACACGGUCCAGACUCCUACGGGAGGCAGCAGUGAGGAAUAUUGGUCAAUGGACGCAAGUCUGAACCAGCCAAGUAGCGUGCAGGAUGACGGCCCUCCGGGUUGUAAACUGCUUUUAGUUGGGAAUAAAAAAGAGGACGUGUCCUCUAUUGUAUGUACCUUCAGAAAAAGGACCGGCUAAUUCCGUGCCAGCAGCCGCGGUAAUACGGAAGGUCCAGGCGUUAUCCGGAUUUAUUGGGUUUAAAGGGAGCGUAGGCGGAUUAUUAAGUCAGUGGUGAAAGACGGUGGCUCAACCAUCGUUAGCCAUUGAAACUGGUAGUCUUGAGUGCAGACAGGGAUGCUGGAACUCGUGGUGUAGCGGUGAAAUGCUUAGAUAUCACGAUGAACUCCGAUCGCGAAGGCAGGUGUCCGGGCUGCAACUGACGCUGAGGCUCGAAAGUGUGGGUAUCAAACAGG